rnacentral:rRNA from 1 species
CCAUCAUUUAAAGAAAGCGUAAUAGCUCACUGGUCGAGUCGGCCUGCGCGGAAGAUGUAACGGGGCUAAACCAUGCACCGAAGCUGCGGCAGCGACGCUUAUGCGUUGUUGGGUAGGGGAGCGUUCUGUAAGCCUGUGAAGGUGUACUGUGAGGUAUGCUGGAGGUAUCAGAAGUGCGAAUGCUGACAUAAGUAACGAUAAAGCGGGUGAAAAGCCCGCUCGCCGGAAGACCAAGGGUUCCUGUCCAACGUUAAUCGGGGCAGGGUGAGUCGACCCCUAAGGCGAGGCCGAAAGGCGUAGUCGAUGGGAAACAGGUUAAUAUUCCUGUACUUGGUGUUACUGCGAAGGGGGGACGGAGAAGGCUAUGUUGGCCGGGCGACGGUUGUCCCGGUUUAAGCGUGUAGGCUGGUUUUCCAGGCAAAUCCGGAAAAUCAAGGCUGAGGCGUGAUGACGAGGCACUACGGUGCUGAAGCAACAAAUGCCCUGCUUCCAGGAAAAGCCUCUAAGCAUCAGGUAACAUCAAAUCGUACCC